rnacentral:rRNA from 1 species
UACGUAUGGUGCAAGCGUUAUCCGGAUUUACUGGGCGUAAAGGGAGCGCAGGCGGCGCGCCAAGUCUGAUGUGAAACCCCGGGGCUCAACCCCGGGCAUGCAUUGGAAACUGGCGGGCUGGAGUGCCGGAGAGGUAAGCGGAAUUCCUAGUGUAGCGGUGAAAUGCGUGGAUAUUAGGAGGAACACCAGUGGCGAAGGCGGCUUACUGGACGGCAACUGACGCUGAGGCUCGAAAGCGUGGGGAGCAAGCAGG